rnacentral:lncRNA from 1 species
GAACCAACCGUUUUUGUUUGACGAAAAAACCAAAGAGAAGUAGGUGAUUAGGAAUCGUGGCCCCACCGAUGUAACCUCAAUUACAUCUACUAAUACUCUGCUUUUUAAGUUUUUAUGAUUUGUCAUCUUAAUCUUUUUAUCAAAAGUGGUCUUGUCCCCUUCUCUCUCAGGCGGUAACCUGACGACGGAUCCCAGAUGUCC